rnacentral:antisense_RNA from 16 species
AAUAACCAAAGAUCACACCUGGAUCAAGAGUUGGAUUCGUGAUCAAACGAACAUCUCCACCACCUGGGGCCCAGGUGUCGUAGACGCCGCCAAAGAACAUGGCCUUAAAGACCAAAAGGAGGCAGCCAACGCCAAGAAGGAUCAGGUGAUAACCAAUGAUGUUGGUCAUCUGGUUUUUAUCGCGCCA